AUCCAGCUGACGAGUUCCAAAAUAGAACGAAACGCGCAUUGUCCUGGAU
rnacentral:hammerhead_ribozyme from 1 species